UCUUUCAAGUGGUAAAUAGCCAUUUAUUGAGUAUUCUUGCUUUGAUUGUCUACGUAAGCAUGUAAGACUACAACAUUACGACCCAUCUCUUCAAGAGGAAGUCUGGUAUUAUGGAAAAACAUUUUGUCAUUCAGAUUUUUUUUUCUUACAGUAUGCCCAUCACAAACCAGGCAGCAAGCAAGGUAUUGGGUGCUACUCAAUCCAGUGAAGUCUUGAGGGUCCCUUCCCUCUGUGAAGCAUAUAAUCUAGUGGGGUAGACUGCUAGCUACUAACUAUGAAAACAACAUAGUCUGACUUGAGAGUGGGGAAAGUGGAACAAGGGAGUAAUUUUUAUAUUUUUCUUCACAUUUAAAAAUAUUUUCUAAACAAUCCAAUAUAAUCUUUUCUAUAAUUUCCAAUACAAUCAACAUGUAUUACUUGUAAAAUAAUAGCAUACAUAUAUCGACAGACUGAAGAAGGUAUACUAUUAGAGAACAUUUGCAGAAAAGAAUUCCACAUCUUUUUUUUGAGACAGAGUUCUGCUGUCACCCAGGCUGGAGUGCAGUGGCAGCAAUCUAGGCUCACUGCAACCUCCACCUCUUGGGUUCAAGCAAUUCUCCUGCCUCAGCCUCCUGAGUAGCUGGGCCUACAGGCACGCGCCACCACACCCAGAUAAUUUUUGUAUUUUUAGUAGAGACGGGGUCCUGACCUCAGAUGAUCCACCCACCUUGGCCUCCCAAAGUGAUGGAAUUACAGGCGUGAGCCACUGCACCUGGCCGAGAAUUCCACAUUUUAAGAAUAUGGUAAAAGAGUUUUAUUCUCUUCAGUAAGAUGAGGUUGAGAAUAAAAAAUUAAAAAGAUUAAGCAAAUGACACUUUCACAUCAUAGGGUAGUAAUAAUGAACUUUAAUAAUCUUAAAAAAAUACUUAUUGGGGAUAAGAAAUGUGGUUUACAAGUAAACUGUUACUUUCUAGACUUAACCCAAGAAGUUAAUGGAGUAGGUGUGUUUCAGUAAAGUAACAGGAAAUGGUACAGAAACCACCAAUGGUCAUCAUGCUUGAGAGUCAAUACAGCACAUAAUUCACAGCACAGAUGAGGCUGGGUGCAGCAAUUCAUGCCUGCAAUUCUACCACUUUGGGAAGCUCAGGCGAGAGGAUCACUUGAGCCCAGGAAUUUGAGACCAGCGUGGGCAACAAGGCUAGACCCCAUCUCUACAAAAUAUAUAUUUAAAAUUAGUUGGGUGUUACCCAGGCAUGGUGGCUCACACCUAUAAUCCCAGUACUUUGGGUAGCCGGGGGAGGUGGAUCACUUGAGGUCAGGAGUUUGAGAUCAGCCUGGCCAACAAGGUGAAACCUUGUCUCUACGAAAAAUACAAAAAUCAGCCAGGCAUUAUGGUGGGUACCUGUAAUCUCAGCUACUUUGGAGGCUGAAGCACGAGAAUUGCUUGAUCUUGGGAGGCAGAGGUUGCAGUGAGCCAAGAUUGUGCCACUGUACUCCGGCCUGGGCAACAGAGUGAGACUUCAACUCAAAAAAACAAAAAUAAAUAAAAAUGAAAAAUAAAAAAAUAUAUAUAUAAAAUUAGGUACGUGUGGUGGUGCAUGCCUGUGGUUCCACCUAAUCAAGAGGCAGUGGCAGGAGGAUUGCUUGAGCCCAGGAGUUUACGGCUGCAGUGAGCUAUGAUCACGCUACUACACUCCAGCCUGGGCAACAGAGCAAGAGGUUGUCUUUUUUUUUUUUUUCUUUCUGAGACAGGAUCUCACUCUGUUGCCCAGGUUGGAAAGCAGUGGCAUGAUCUCAGCUCACUGCUGCCUCAGUCUCCCAGGCUCAAGUGAUCCUCCCACCUCAGUCUCCCAAGUAGCUGGAACUACAGGUGCACACCAUCACAUCCAGUUAUUUUUUUUUUUUUGACGGAGUCUCGCACUGUUGCCCAGGCUGGAGCGCAAUGGCACGAUCUCAGCUCACUGCAACCUCCACCUCCCAGGUUCAAGCAAUUCUCCUGCCUCAGACUCCUGAGUAGCUGGGAUUACAGGCACUCACCGCCAUGCCCACGAGACUCCGUCUCAAAAAAAAAAAAAAAAAAAAAAGUAUAGCUACUAUUAUAAUCCUGUGAAAAUAAUCAAUAUAAAAUUAAAAAUCAACAGACAGCCCAUAUUGCCCUUUUUUGGCCUAACAAAAAACAGAUUUCUAAGAAGACAGUAAGAAAUCAGUAUUAAUUUAAACAUUGUACAGGACAGGAGAUCAAAAGCACAGGUAUACAAAUGGUUCAUUUAAAAAAACUGAUACUCAAAUUGACACCCUGAAAAUGUCAGAUAAUUUUUCAGAAUGAUUAAACUCACUAAACAUCUGUAAACAAUAAAUUUAUUUCAUUUCUUUUAAAGAUUUAAUGAUAUACAAAACGUAUAUAGUAUCUUUAAGUAAUACACUUUUUCUUUCUCCC
rnacentral:lncRNA from 10 species